rnacentral:rRNA from 1 species
CUUACCAUGCAGUCGAACGGCAGCGCGGGGGCAACCCUGGCGGCGAGUGGCGAACGGGUGAGUAAUACAUCGGAACGUGUCCUGGAGUGGGGGAUAGCCCGGCGAAAGCCGGAUUAAUACCGCAUACGAUCCACGGAUGAAAGCGGGGGACCGAAAGGCCUCGCGCUCAAGGAGCGGCCGAUGGCGGAUUAGCUAGUUGGUGGGGUAAAGGCCCACCAAGGCGACGAUCCGUAGCUGGUCUGAGAGGACGACCAGCCACACUGGGACUGAGACACGGCCCAGACUCCUACGGGAGGCAGCAGUGGGGAAUUUUGGACAAUGGGCGAAAGCCUGAUCCAGCAAUGCCGCGUGUGUGAAGAAGGCCUUCGGGUUGUAAAGCACUUUUGUCCGGAAAGAAAACUUCGCCUCUAAUACAGGUGGAGGAUGACGGUACCGGAAGAAUAAGCACCGGCUAACUACGUGCCAGCAGCCGCGGUAAUACGUAGGGUGCAAGCGUUAAUCGGAAUUACUGGGCGUAAAGCGUGCGCAGGCGGUGAUGUAAGACCGAUGUGAAAUCCCCGGGCUUAACCUGGGAACUGCAUUGGUGACUGCAUUGCUAGAGUAUGGCAGAGGGGGGUGGAAUUCCACGUGUAGCAGUGAAAUGCGUAGAGAUGUGGAGGAACACCGAUGGCGAAGGCAGCCCCCUGGGCCAAUACUGACGCUCAUGCACGAAAGCGUGGGGAGCAAACAGGAUUAGAUACCCUGGUAGUCCACGCCCUAAACGAUGUCAACUGGUUGUUGGGGAUUCAUUUCCUUAGUAACGAAGCUAACGCGUGAAGUUGACCGCCUGGGGAGUACGGUCGCAAGAUUAAAACUCAAGAAG